rnacentral:lncRNA from 1 species
AUGUCAGUCCUUAAAAAGAAAACUCAAGAGCAAAGAUGGUUGAAGAUAGAAGGUUUAAUUAUGAAACUUUUAACUUUUCAAAAAAUAUUCUUUUGGAAGAGAAAAAUUUCUAUAAAUAGAACUGAACCACUGAAUUUUAAGCUUCAAGUCUUUAAAUAAAGUAGAUGAAUGUUAAUUAAGACACACCAAAAUAUACUAAAUAAAUCAAUUUUAAGCAACCUUAUUUCCCAAAUUAUGAUUGUAAGUAUAAGACAUAUGGAACAUUUAAUUAAAGAAAUAGUAAUAAUUAAAUUCCACUCACUAUGAUUUUGCUCAUUAAAAAGAUACUUUGUUAGAAGUUUUUAACUUUAAAUGGAUGGGAGAUAAUGACUUAGAUUUCUUUUUUGUACAUUGCUCUUUUUUUCAUAACUUGAAAGGUUAAAUUGCAAAUAAUAGUUCAUUCUGUAUUUGAGAAAAGAAGCUUAUCAGCAAAUAAUUUCUGAGCCUAGUGUAUUGUUAUAAAAUGUUUCUUUUGAGAGUUAUAUACUGAUCUAUAUCAAUCAUAGUAAUUUUUUCCCAUUAUUUAUCCUGCAGCCUUUUCUGUUUUAAAGUUACACUGUACCUCUGGCAAUGUUUCCUGAAACAAUUUCAGCCCAGAGCCAGCUAAUGGCUUGGGAUCAUUUCUAUAGAUCUUGGUUUGCCUUUUUGUAUGUGUGUGGCCUUCAGGGAUGUUACAGUUUGCUGUUUAGUAAAUUGACUCACAGUUUGAAAGCAUUCUUUUAUCAUUAAACACACAUGAAAAGGGGGACUCUCUCCAGGCAGAAUGCACCAUCAGAUUGAAUGGACAAAAACUUGGAACCACUAUCAGUAUUAAGAAUCCUGGACUCAUCAUCUUCAAUCUGCUCAACUUAAAAAAAAAAAAAAUCAGAGUCAGGUUUACUGUGGCUCAUCUUUCUGUUGCAUCAUUGAUUUAGAAAUGUUGCCAAGUACAUGUAAAUACGAAAUAAAAUGAACUUGGCUAUAAAAGAUUUUGUAUUUAUUUAUCUACUUUGUGAAUCACUGUACCCAUAUUUAUGGAAUCUUUUUAAGGCUUGGAACUUUUUGUUCGUAAAUACAACAGCUUUUAAUUUCUGAACAUUAAGUUUUUAUCCUAGCUCUUGACGAAUAGCUUACAUUCAUGUAUUUUUAAUAUUUCUUUUAAAUAACACACACAUACAUUAUCUCACUUGAUCCUUACAAUAACUUGCAAAAGAGUGUAAGUGCUUCCCUCUCAUUUAAAAAGCAAAGAGAUGGAGUGGCGGAAGUUAUACAGUUUGCUCAAGGUUACCUUCUGAUUAGUGAGGGAAGUAGAUUCACAACUGACAAAUCUAGAAUGCUCAGUGUUUGAGCUAUUCAUUUGUUUCUUCAGAAAAAUCUUUAAGCUGGCUAUAAAGUGAGCAAAUGGAUAUCAUCCAGAGCCCUCUUCUCAUUCAAGUGCCACCACUUCCUGCCUUUCAUAACUAAAAUUUGGAAAAUGAAGUUCAAGCAUACUAUCUCUUUUCUCUAGGCUGGUCAUUCCUCAAGCUCCCUCAGGCUGACACAAGUCUGCAAUCCUAGACUAGUGUAGCAAUCCCUUCUCUGUGUUCCCUCAGCACUAUGCAUAUCUCCAUACAUGACACAUCUGUUUUUCCCACAAGACUGAGUUCUUUAAGAUAAAGGACUCCAUCCUCUUAACUUCUGUAUCCACAAUACCUAGCAUAGCGGUAAGCAUAGCACACACCUCAAUAAAUAUUUGUUGAAUGAAGGAAUGAAUAAAAGAAUCAUAAUGAGACUAAAAAGGCAUUAUUUUAAGAAAGGAAUUGCCUUUGAUUGGAAAAAUAUCUCAAUAAGCUAUUUGAGAUAAACAACGAGAGCUGAAGGCAUGGAUUGGAAAGUGAGAGCACAGGCAGCAGGGGAAGAAGAACAGCUAAAUCAUUUUGUACAAGAUGAAGAGGAAUUUGGUCUUUGCUAGAGAGUUGAGAAAGAGCAAAUAAAGAAAAAGACCACAUAAAGAUGAUGAAAGGAAUCUCUGAAAUGGACAAGUUGGAGACCCCUGGUGGUGGUAGGAUCCAUCCGAAGCUGUCUGCACUGCUGAAAUAUAAAACCCACCAUAUCUCCUCUUAUAUUAUCCCACCCCUUGUUUGAAUAAAAUUUCCCAUACUCACAAGUAUUAUACAUAGUAUUUUUUGAAAAUUGUGAAAAGACCUGAGUUUCAUAUCUGGACUAACAAUGAGGAAACAAAUCAUAGUCACCAGAGUUGAGGAUCCAGUUACUCAUGACAGCAAAAGUCUAUCAGAAAUAUGACAAAAUUCGGAAAUGAACUUGAAUUUCUAGAAACACAGAAAUGUGGGCUCAAGCUAGUCUUAUAUAGAUUUUAAGGAGAUAAGACAUCUGAACUGACAUGAAAAGCUUCCUAAUGACAGAAUGAAUGAAACCAAGCAAUAUAAAUUACAAAAAGAGGAAUUUGAUUCAUUUAUUCACACAAACAUCCAUUUAUUCAGGUAACUUUCAUUAAGCACCAAGGUAUCUCAGUUUCUAGAAAUAAAACUGCAAAACAGGUAUGGAUCAUGCCUUAUAAAACUUACAGUAUAGGGGAAAUACAGAUGACCUCUGACAGUAUAAUAGAUGAAGAUGUAGAAUAUUAUGGAGGUAUUUAGAAGUGCACCUCAACCUGACUCAAGUUAUUGGGAAGGACUUUUAGUAAUUAAUGUCUAAGCUGAAAAUUAAAAGUUCCAGUUGAGAGAUUGGUAGCAAUAUUCCAGGCACAGGAAACAGCAUAUGUGAAAUCCCAGAAAUGAGAGGGAGCCUGGCAUGUUGAGCAUUUGAAAGUAGUGUUGAAAGGCUGGAGCCUCGAGAGAGAGCUUAAAUUGACAAAGGAUGAGGGUGGGGUGAUAUAUAGGGAACAAAUCAUGAAGGACUUGUAAGCCAUGUUAAGGAGCUUGUGCUUUACGCUGAAGCAACGUGGAGUCACUAAACAGUUCUUAGUGCAAGUAAUACAUUGGUUAGAUCCUCAAGAAUGAUCAUUCUGGCAGCAGCAUAGAGACAGGAUUAUAGCAAGGCAGCCUGGAGGUGGAGAAACCAGUUGGAUGAAUUAGCAUUCCCAGUGAGAGAGUGAUGAUUGAAGUAGGAAAGGGAUCAUGUGCAUACAGAGGAUUUAAACUACUUAGGGAUAUUUAGAGAUAAUAUUCACUAUACGGGGUGGUUAACUGAAUAUGAACAUGGAAAUAGAGAGAGUUGUCCAGGAAAACACACAAGGUUGGGCAACUGGGUGCUGCCCCUCACUGUUAUAUAUAAAUCACAAGUAAAGAAAAUAUCAGGGUGUGGGGGGGAGGGAAAUAAUAGCUUUUGUGGAGACACAUAGAGUUUGAUAUUUAUAUGAAACUCUAAGUGGAGAUCUCCAGAAAAACACUGGGCACCAAGGGAAGCUCAGGAGAGAGAUCUGGGAUAUAAAGUUGAAAGCUAUAAACAAAUUGACUCAAAAAAAAAAAAAAAAAGACUGAACUUCAAGGCCAAAGAAUGAAUAAGAUCAUCCAGGGAACAUGUGACAGUGAGUAGAAGACAGGGCUCGAGACUAGCUUCGAGAAGAACUGCCACUUGUCAGUAGGAUAAAUUUUGAAAGGUAUUCACAGAUUUUUCUACAAAAAAAGCAUUUCUGACCUUUCUGAAGGAGUUUCAGGGACAAAGUUCAAUAAGCUGGAAAUCAAUUCAGCAUAUGAAGGAAUGAAAGGAAGAAGAAGAUGGAAAAUAUAACAGGAGUACAUAAAAUUUAGCUAUAAUAAGUACAGCAUAAGCUAAGGAAAUAUGAGGAUUUUUAAUACAUGAGAUAUUUGAGCCUGCUUAACUGCUGAGAGAAAAGAACUACUAGAGAAGGAAGAUGUAAGAGAAAGAUGGUCAGUACUACACAUAUUCUCUUAUGUAGGCAGGAAACGACGCAAGUACUGUUCUAGGAAAAGAAGAAAUCCUUAGUAAAGUAACAGGAUGUGGGGCAGAAGAGAUGUGGCUUCCUGCCUAAUGACUUCUAACCUUUCUGUGGACCAGGAACCAGGGAUCCUCCUGACAUGAGGGACAGCAAUGGAGAGAGAACACACGUUUUGGCGGGGUCAAAUUUUAAAGCAACGCUAUCUUGAAAUAACAUUUGUGGAGAAUAGGUAGGAACUGACUAGAAAGAAAGGAGUGCUAGAUAGCAACACCAAAAACACAAGUGAGGUGGAGAACAUAAAUGUGUGUGCUACUCUACCCAAUUUAUUUUUAGGAU